UACGAAGGGUGCAAGCGUUAAUCGGAAUUACUGGGCGUAAAGGGUGCGUAGGCGGUUCGUUAAGUCUGACGUGAAAUCCCCGGGCUUAACCUGGGAAUUGCGUUGGAGACUGCAAGGCUGGAGUCUGGCAGAGGGGGGUAGAAUUCCACGUGUAGCAGUGAAAUGCGUAGAGAUGUGGAGGAACACCGAUGGCGAAGGCAGCCCCCUGGGUCAAGACUGAUGCUCAUGCACGAAAGCGUGGGGAGCAAACAGG
rnacentral:rRNA from 1 species